UUUUUACCCCUCGCUUCCAUCCCUCAGCAGGUCCGACCGACUCUCCACGCCCCAUGGCGUCUUUGUCUCCCUGGGGACACCAACUCUAAGCUUCCGCUUGGCUCAGCCCAGGCCCCAACUCCCGGGGACGGCACUGGGGUAGAAGAUAAUAUAGGAUGGCUUUCUGUACCGCGUCUGGUGAUGGAGAGCCCCGGGGACACCUCCGCGGACACGUGUUGGACUCAGUGCUUUAAGCCAGUGACAGCUGGAAAUUCCCCAACCCAGCAACGUCCCCGCCCCCCGACGCUGCCGCUGACCCUGCCCUUGGCGGCGAGCCUGCCUGUAUCGUAGGCCAGGUCUGGGUGGGGGUUGGCACCUUUGUGAGCUCACGUCCCCUCUAACUACCUAUCUUUGCUUAUCAAAUUCAGACAGCUUCAGACACGGGGAGGGAGGGAGGGAGAAAGGGAGGGGAGAGGAGACAAGAGAUAGGCGGGUGCUAGCCUUAGCCCUGCUUCCCUCUCCUGAGAUGGAGAAAUGGAUCCUCAAAAAAAUAAAAUAUUUGCAGUCCGGGGGCCUCUCAGCUUCUCAUUACAAUUGCAAGGUGAGGGAAAGACAGCUGGAUUUGGGAUUCCCCGUCCUGCCCUUACUUGUGUUGCCAGGUACUGAAUUGCUCUCUUUGUUAAUUUUAGGUUGAUUCUUUCAGGGAGCGUAUCACAAGUGAGGCAGAAGACUUGGUGGCAAAUUUUUUCCCAAAGAAGUUGUUAGAACUUGAUAGUUUUUUGAAGGAACCAAUCCUAAACAUCCAUGACCUAACUCAGAUCCACUCGGACAUGAAUCUCCCAGUCCCUGACCCCAUUCUUCUCACCAAUAGCCAUGAUGGACUGGAUGG